CGAGUUUGAUCAUGGCUCAGAUUGAACGCUGGCGGCAUGCUUUACACAUGCAAGUCGAGCGGCAGCGGCGGGGCAACCCUGGCGGCGAGCGGCGAACGGGUGAGUAAUGCAUCGGAACGUACCUGGAGUGGGGGAUAACGCCGCGAAAGCGGCGCUAAUACCGCAUAUGCUCUGUGGAGAAAGUGGGGGACCCUGAGGGUAACUGAGGGGCCUCACGCUCUGGGAGCGGCCGAUGUCCGAUUAGCUAGUUGGUGGGGUAAAGGCCUACCAAGGCGACGAUCCAUAGCUGGUCUGAGAGGAUGAUCAGCCACAUUGGGACUGAGACACGGCCCAAACUCCUACGGGAGGCAGCAGUGGGGAAUAUUGGACAAUGGGCGCAAGCCUGAUCCAGCCAUGCCGCGUGAAUGAUGAAGGCCCUAGGGUUGUAAAGCUCUUUCACCGGUGAAGAUAAUGACGGUAACCGGAGAAGAAGCCCCGGCUAACUUCGUG
rnacentral:rRNA from 1 species